rnacentral:rRNA from 1 species
GAUGAACGCUGGCGGCGUGCCUAAUACAUGCAAGUCGAGCGAACAGACGAGGAGCUUGCUCCUCUGACGUUAGCGGCGGACGGGUGAGUAACACGUGGAUAACCUACCUAUAAGACUGGGAUAACUUCGGGAAACCGGAGCUAAUACCGGAUAAUAUAUUGAACCGCAUGGUUCAAUAGUGAAAGACGGUUUUGCUGUCACUUAUAGAUGGAUCCGCGCCGCAUUAGCUAGUUGGUAAGGAAACGGCUUACCAAGGCAACGAUGCGUAGCCGACCUGAGAGGGUGAUCGGCCACACUGGAACUGAGACACGGUCCAGACUCCUACGGGAGGCAGCAGUAGGGAAUCUUCCGCAAUGGGCGAAAGCUUGACGGAGCAACGCCGCGUGAGUGAUGAAGGUCUUCGGAUCGUAAAACUCUGUUAUUAGGGAAGAACAAAUGUGUAAGUAACUAUGCACGUCUUGACGGUACCUAAUCAGAAAGCCACGGCUAACUACGUG